UGGACUCCGUUACUCCCAAACAAGGCGUUAAAAACAGAAGCGGGAAAAUAUGAAUUUCAAAUUCUCUCCCCUGACAUACAAAAUAAAAAACCUUUCAAAUAAGUAAGGUCUAGAUUGCAAUUCAGAAAGCACAAAAUCAAACCCCAGAAAUUGAAAUCGCCAGUACCAUGUCUUCAACGCUACAAGAAGAUGAAGCAGUCCAAGAAAAUAAUACAGUCGGAGAAGGAGAAACCAAGAGAAAAAGGGGGGACUGGUCGCUUAAAGAUUUUGAAAUCGGCCGACCUUUAGGACGAGGAAAAUUCGGAAGAGUUUACCUAGCCAGAGAAGUCAAGAGCAAGUAUAUGGUGGCCUUGAAAGUAAUUUUCAAGGAGCAGAUCGAGAAGUACAAUUUUCACCAUCAGUUAAAGAGGGAAAUGGAGAUCCAAGCAAGUCUCGAUCACCCUAAUGUUUUGCGUCUCUUCGGCUGGUUUCACGAUGAGGAGCGUAUUUUCUUGAUACUCGAGUAUGCUGAAGGUGGCGAGCUUUAUAAAAAGCUUAAAAAGAAACGCUAUCUCACCGAAAAGGAAUCAGCCACGUACAUUGCAAGUCUCACAAACGCCUUGGCUUACUGUCACAAGCAUGACGUGAUUCACAGGGAUAUCAAGCCGGAAAAUCUGCUGCUUGAUUAUGAGGGUCGAUUGAAGAUUGCAGACUUUGGGUGGUCUGUGCAAUCGAGGAGCAAGAGACGCACCAUGUGUGGCACUUUGGAUUACUUGGCACCAGAAAUGGUAGAGAAUAAAGCUCAUGAUUAUGCAGUCGAUAAUUGGACCUUAGGCAUACUGUGUUAUGAGUUCCUCUAUGGUGCCCCUCCAUUUGAAGCUGAAAGUCAAAAGGAUACCUUCAGCAGGAUUAUGAAAGUUGAUCUAACAUUCCCUUCUGAUCCUCCGGUGUCUAUGGAAGCUAAAAAUCUCAUCGCUAGACUUUUGGUAAAAGACUCUUCAAAGAGGCUUUCCUUACAGAAAAUCCUGGAACAUCCUUGGAUAAUCAAGAAUGCAGAUCCUAAAGGAAUCUCCAAAGAGUUGGAUUUUCCUGACUGAGAAUUAUGUGUCUGCUGCUUGUAGACAGAGAGUGGCUUCUAAAGCAGAUUUUCAUUUUUGGAAUAGAUCAAUGAAGAUAGCCCUGAGUUCGAACUGGUAGAUGAUCCGUUCAUGUUCCGAAUGCAGAAGAUCCAAUUUUUGCAGCUUGGGAACGAUGUAAAUAACAUGAUUAUGAAGGACCUAUUUUUCGCCCUAGCUUCACUUUUCUCUACCUUUUUGGGGUGGGACCUACUUCACAGAAUAUGAGUCUAACGUGGCAAGAAGCUGUGCGUUUACAUAUUGCCAAUUUCAGGAGUAAAUAGUGGGUCUUCUUAGUUAGACUCAGUCCACCAUGUCAUUCGUAGA